UUGCCAUUAACACAGUGAAGAGCACCCAUGAGUUCUGGAAGGCUCUAAUCUCGAAGAAGACCAGUGCUGGUGAUUUAAACUGCAUGAACACCAGUAUCUCUGACAGUCCGUUCUGCUGCUCUGCUGGUGAUGCAGAGGCUGUGGUUAAAUCUACGUGUGCUCCUGGAGCUGAAGAUCCUGUUCCAAGCCCAGUUGACAAAUGGUUCUACUAUGAGAAGUAAGGAGGAAAAGAGCAGAAACAUGAAGAUGUGGCUUUUAUCGCCUCCUUCUCUCCUGUCGUCCUUCUCCUCAUUUCAACUCGUCUGAGCAGCACAUGGACUGGAAAGACUGGACGUCACAUUUCAACUGCUUUUUUGUUCACAAUUUUUGUUGUUGUUGUUAGACCAAUAAUUUCAAGCUUGACAGAUCACUA